ACACAUGCAAGUCGAACGGUAACAGGAAGCAGCUUGCUGCUUUGCUGACGAGUGGCGGACGGGUGAGUAAUGUCUGGGAAACUGCCUGAUGGAGGGGGAUAACUACUGGAAACGGUGGCUAAUACCGCAUAACGUCGCAAGACCAAAGAGGGGGACCUUCGGGCCUCUUGCCAUCAGAUGUGCCCAGAUGGGAUUAGCUUGUUGGUGAGGUAACGGCUCACCAAGGCGACGAUCCCUAGCUGGUCUGAGAGGAUGACCAGCCACACUGGAACUGAGACACGGUCCAGACUCCUACGGGAGGCAGCAGUGGGGAAUAUUGCACAAUGGGCGCAAGCCUGAUGCAGCCAUGCCGCGUGUAUGAAGAAGGCCUUCGGGUUGUAAAGUACUUUCAGCGGGGAGGAAGGUGUUGUGGUUAAUAACCACAGCAAUUGACGUUACCCGCAGAAGAAGCACCGGCUAACUCCGUGCCAGCAGCCGCGGUAAUACGGAGGGUGCAAGCGUUAAUCGGAAUUACUGGGCGUAAAGCGCACGCAGGCGGUCUGUCAAGUCGGAUGUGAAAUCCCCGGGCUCAACCUGGGAACUGCAUUCGAAACUGGCAGGCUUGAGUCUUGUAGAGGGGGGUAGAAUUCCAGGUGUAGCGGUGAAAUGCGUAGAGAUCUGGAGGAAUACCGGUGGCGAAGGCGGCCCCCUGGACAAAGACUGACGCUCAGGUGCGAAAGCGUGGGGAGCAAACAGGAUUAGAUACCCUGGUAGUCCACGCCGUAAACGAUGUCUACUUGGAGGUUGUGCCCUUGAGGCGUGGCUUCCGGAGCUAACGCGUUAAGUAGACCGCCUGGGGAGUACGGCCGCAAGGUUAAAACUCAAAUGAAUUGACGGGGGCCCGCACAAGCGGUGGAGCAUGUGGUUUAAUUCGAUGCAACGCGAAGAACCUUACCUGGUCUUGACAUCCACGGAAGUUUUCAGAGAUGAGAAUGUGCCUUCGGGAACCGUGAGACAGGUGCUGCAUGGCUGUCGUCAGCUCGUGUUGUGAAAUGUUGGGUUAAGUCCCGCAACGAGCGCAACCCUUAUCCUUUGUUGCCAGCGGUCCGGCCGGGAACUCAAAGGAGACUGCCAGUGAUAAACUGGAGGAAGGUGGGGAUGACGUCAAGUCAUCAUGGCCCUUACGACCAGGGCUACACACGUGCUACAAUGGCGCAUACAAAGAGAAGCGACCUCGCGAGAGCAAGCGGACCUCAUAAAGUGCGUCGUAGUCCGGAUUGGAGUCUGCAACUCGACUCCAUGAAGUCGGAAUCGCUAGUAAUCGUGGAUCAGAAUGCCACGGUGAAUACGUUCCCGGGCCUUGUACACACCGCCCGUCACACCAUGGGAGUGGGUUGCAAAAGAAGUAGGUAGCUUAACCUUCGGGAGGGCGCUUACCACUUUGUGAUUCAUGACUGGGGUGAAGUCGUAACAAGGUAACCGUAGGGGAACCUGC
rnacentral:rRNA from 1 species